UACAGAGGGUGCGAGCGUUAAUCGGAAUUACUGGGCGUAAAGCGCACGUAGUCGGCUUUGCAAGUCGGGUGUGAAAUCCCCGGGCUCAACCUGGGAACUGCAUCCGAGACUGCAUUGCUAGAGUAUGUCAGAGGGGGGUAGAAUUCCACGUGUAGCAGUGAAAUGCGUAGAGAUGUGGAGGAAUACCGAUGGCGAAGGCAGCCCCCUGGGAUAACACUGACGCUCAUGCACGAAAGCGUGGGGAGCAAACAGG
rnacentral:rRNA from 1 species